UGUGAAGCACAAUUCUGAGAUGUGCAGAAAGGUGAAAAGGAUUGCCUUUUCUAAGACUUUAAAACAAAAGUGUCUGGCAAAGAUGUGCACAACCAAGUAACACAAUCAAGAAUCAGUGCCUCGUGUGUGGCCUGCGUCUUUGAAGUGUAUGAUGAAGUGCUUUUGUCUGAUGGUCUGUGGAUAUGCUUUAUAUUGUGUGCCUCACAUAAGCACAUUGUCUUUGCUACUAUCUACAUGUCCCAACAACAUUUAAAAGAUGUUAUGCAAAUCAUUUUUUUCCUAGGGUGUUUGUUAAAUGUUCUAUCUUCAAUUUCUAUUCAAUAUUUUGGAUAUAAUUUUUUUCAGAAAGGUUCAAAAGUAUUCAAUCCACGUGAAUGCCAUUUGUACUGAUAUUUUAUCCAGAUCAGCAUGUAAUUAUUGAUGCAGAAAUAAAAUCUCUUUCAUGCACUGGGUGGUGGAGAGAGUUUUCUAUGUUUAUAGGACAAUAGUUGUACACUAUAGAAGUACUACAUACUGCACAUGAUGAUAUAAACACAUUAAUUAAUUAAUCUGCAAUUAAAUUGAAUAAACUUUUC
rnacentral:lncRNA from 1 species